rnacentral:lncRNA from 1 species
UUCUGGUCUGUGCGUACGUUCGUCCGUUCGUCUGUUUGUUUGUCCGUUUGUCCAGCUUCAAGUUAAAUAAAAUUGAAACUUAGUACACAUUUUCCCUAUGGUAUGAUCUUUUUAAUUCUAAAGCCAAAUAACAGUUUUAUCCCAUUUUCAUAGUCCACUAAACAUAGAAAAUGAUAGUGUAGAUGAGGCAUCCGUGUACUAGGGACACAUUCAUGUUUCUUCAAAUUUUCGUCGUAUCGCUGUCAAUUUGUG